CGCACGUCAGUAUGAAUUCGUCCGUUGCUUGGAGCCCGUGACUCGUCGUUUUAUUCAUAACUUUUUUAAAUAUAAACAACACUGUUUGUACUUCGUUUUCUGUUAAACUAAAGUUUUUGUACUGUAAUUUAUUCGUUUUCUAAAUAGAUGUUAUUGCCAAGAUUUCGCGAAGCAAAUAUUGUGCAAUCAUUGUAUUUGCCGAUUUUGAAGAUGUAGUAUCAUAAUUUGAUCUUGGGCUUAACCAGGUCAAAAGGUAGUACUAGAAUAGUCACAGCAUACAUUAAAAUUAAGUUGAAUUAAAUCCUUUACGCUUGUCAAUCCGGUUCCCCCACAGAAAAAUGACAGAUUUGAAAGAAAUACUGUACGCAAUUACAGAUUUCUACAAAAAUUGGUAUUUGCCAUUCCUUGGAGUCCAUGAGUCUUGCAUUGCAAUUGCCUUCGAGUUCCGAUGCCCGAGUCACGAGCUAAAUUAGAAUGCGAAUUUCAUUCGCUUCGUCGUUCGACUCCCGAUUUAAAAUAAAAUAAAUAUUGACACCUUCCCACAUUUCCCUUAACAAUGUCAUUUAUUUCACAGAUUUUAUCAUCUUCAACAAUAGUCUUGAGUGUUACAUCGAGUGAAAUACUGGUAUGUGGUAUGUGUAACUAAGUGUUUGUUUUGUACUUAUCCCCACGUGCUGGUAAUAUGUACGUCUUUUUAAUCAUUGAGCGCGAGCUGGGCGUCACACAAACUCGAGCGGGGUGUCUAGAGUUGUAGAAUUAAAUUCUCCGUCGGGUUGUAUUUGUUUGCGGUAGAAGUGACUCGAUUCAGGGCACCUUACGAGGCCAGCGGUAAAAGUGACUCGUGUUCAGGGCACCGUAUGAACCCGGCGAAAAUUUUCAUGAA